AUCCCAGAUAAAUGUUUUAUGUGUUUAUUUGAUUCAUGGGAGGCAUACAUUAAUAAUGGGAGUUCCGCUGAUGGAACCUUCCGUAAUCAAGAGGGUUCUCUAAUAGUGCCUCACUGUACAUUU
rnacentral:snoRNA from 1 species